GACGAACGCUGGCGGCGUGCUUAACACAUGCAAGUCGAACGGAAAGGCCCUGCUUUUGUGGGGUGCUCGAGUGGCGAACGGGUGAGUAACACGUGAGUAACCUGCCCUUGACUUUGGGAUAACUUCAGGAAACUGGGGCUAAUACCGGAUAGGAGCUCCUGCUGCAUGGUGGGGGUUGGAAAGUUUCGGCGGUUGGGGAUGGACUCGCGGCUUAUCAGCUUGUUGGUGGGGUAGUGGCUUACCAAGGCUUUGACGGGUAGCCGGCCUGAGAGGGUGACCGGCCACAUUGGGACCUGGGUUCGGCCCAGACUCCUACGGGAGGCAGCAGUGGGGAAUAUUGCACAAUGGGCGGAAGCCUGAUGCAGCAACGCCGCGUGCGGGAUGACGGCCUUCGGGUUGUAAACCGCUUUCGCCUGUGACGAAGCGUGAGUGACGGUAAUGGGUAAAGAAGCACCGGCUAACUACGUG
rnacentral:rRNA from 1 species